UACGGGAGGCAGCAGGGGGAAUAUUGCACAAUGGGCGCAAGCCUGAUGCAGCCAUGCCGCGUGUAUGAAGAAGGCCUUCGGGUUGUAAAGUACUUUCAGUCGUGAGGAAGGUGUUAAGGUUAAUAACCUUAGCAAUUGACGUUAGCGACAGAAGAAGCACCGGCUAACUCCGUGCCAGCAGCCGCGGUAAUACGGAGGGUGCGAGCGUUAAUCGGAAUUACUGGGCGUAAAGGGCACGCAGGCGGUUAAUUAAGUUGGAUGUGAAAUCCCCGGGCUUAACCUGGGAAUGGCAUUCAAGACUGGUUAGCUAGAGUCUUGUAGAGGGGGUAGAAUUCCAUGUGUAGCGGUGAAAUGCGUAGAGAUGUGGAGGAAUACCGGUGGGCGAAGGCGGCCCCUGGGACAAAGACUGACGCUCAUGUGCGAAAGCGUGGGGAGCAAACGAGGGAUUAGAUACC
rnacentral:rRNA from 1 species